rnacentral:lncRNA from 1 species
GUAAUUAUGUGGAUGCUUAAACAAGGCCAAGGCAUUGUUCCUAUCGUUGUUAAAAUCCUCCAGUUCUUUCCCAGCAAACUACCUCAAUACCAAGAUCACUGUAGCAAUAAAGAGAUAUUUUUAAUGCAAAAAAAUCAUCUGGACUUCAGGCUCUUCGCUCAAAGUCUUGCAUUGGACAAGAUGAAACUUGAGGAUUACAUUAAGGUAUAUUUUUUCCUUUUCACACUUAUUUAAUAGAGGAACUUGGAAGAAUAGUAAAAAAAAAUGGGAAGAAGAACCCAUUAUCAUGGUGGUCAUAGUAUAGCAUAUUGAGCGUCUUCUCUUUUAAAUAACAGAUUCCCUUUUCUCCCACCGGGGUGCACUGCAGACAGGCAUAUGGUGGAAAAAAACCUUGUUUCAUGGUUCUAUGGUAGCUGAUUGAUUUCUGUUGUUUAACCAUACCUAGGGUUAGAUUUAACACAUCUAAUACAUAUUUCAUUCAAAAGACCCCAGCGUUGUUAAAUCUCAGACAUAUCAAGUUCACUACCCUGCAACUAUAGAAAAAUCAGCCUGUAUCUUUUAUUCUUUUAUACUUUUUACUUAAAAUGUUUUCUGUGUUUGAAAAUAACUUUCAUUUGAUUGGUUAUGAACUAGCACUACACAGAGAGUUUAUUUGACGGUUGGCGUUGCUUGGUGAUGCCGUCGGGUUGAGGAUAUGUGUAUGAACCGUUUUUAAGUCGCUUUGGAUAAAACCGUCUGCCAAAUGCCCUAAAUGUAAUUGUAAUUACUGUGGGAAUAAGAUACGUAUAAGUUAUUUUACGAUGUGUUUAGUUAGUACCAAUAAAAUAUUACUUAAGAACCACAUAAACGUGUCCAAUGCUGGCUGUCUUUCAGAAUGAGCUGGAGGAGCAGUACGGUGAACAUUAUACCCAGAAAGUAGAGGACAGACUUCUGCACUAUGUACAUGAAUUGGAGAUGAUGUUACCAAGAGAUACCUAUAUAGACCAGAUCUUACGGCAAGAGCAUAAAGUGAGCCAUGAACACAAGGAAAUUUUGGAGAUUAUAGCUCAAGGCUCCACGGCCAUCGCAAGUUCCCUGAGGAUGCUACUGCAAUGGGGUGACAAAAGCUGUUGUCCUCUGAAAUUCUCCUCGAAACCAGCAGUGGCAGCUGUGGUGGAACCUGUUGCUCUCCCAGAGCCUGCCGUGAACAACAUCUCUUUCGGUGCUCCUCCAAGAUCGGAGACGGCCAAAGCUCCCGUAAUGGCCCGGGAAGACGCAUUGUGCCGACACCUUUCCCAAGACAGCCCUCUUCUGUUUCCUAUGGAGCAGCAGGAGAACAGUGGCGGUGUGGGAGACGGUGAGGUCGGAUGUCCCCAACCAAAAGAGGGGUUGGCGAGGGAAGCUGGGGACGGAGAGGCAGUGAUGAAGGCUGACGGUGGGCGCGAUCAGAGGGGACCGGCCCUCCCCACGGAUCAGCAGGCGGAGGAAGGUGGUCCCCAAAGAGGUGAGGAAGCGGAAGGGGGGGACCACACGGAUGUGCAGCUCAGCCAGAGAAGCGAUGACUCUGAACGCGUGUCCUCCUCUUCCUCAUCUUCCUCCUCUUUGCCACAUUUCUGCACCAAACACAAGCGAUGGGUGAGGAGCAUCCUGUCUGAGUGCUCCAAAGAGCGGCAGGCACAAAGAGACGUGCCUCCCUCCCCUCUGCUCUUCCCUUCCUCUUCCUCCUCUUCGUCUCAGGACCUCACCCCCUCCGACCUCAUCCCAUGCGACCUGAUCCAAAAGCCCCCCAACCGUCAGACCCCCUGCCUCUCUCCGGCAACCGCCCAGGGGCCCGGUCUGACCCUGUCCAUGCAUAACCCCUGCCCCACACGGUCUGUACAGCCGCUCUGCCCCCCCGGGGUCCGCCCAGGGUCCCCCAGAGCAGGGGCCACAAACACCUCCCAUCACGUGGCCCCAUCUACAACCCCUUGCACCCCCGUCCCUGAAUGUUCGGCAAGCCAUGAAGCAGCUGCUUCCAGCCCACCAAAACCUGAGGCUCCAUCGUACUCUUCAGACGGGAAGCACGGGCUGACUGUAGGCCUUUUACCAGACGGGGCUCAAUCACAAUUUGCCCCUUCCAUUUCACCAGACGCGGUUAAACCACAAUUGGCCCCUGCCGUUGCACUCCCCCGGUCAGGGCAAUAUCAGCCGGCCCUCGCCUCGACACUGCCUGCACACUACCAGCAAACUGUAUCUGGUAGCGACUCGCCCUCUGUCUGCAGCCUAACACCUGGCCACACAGCGGCCCCCUCACCAGGGCCUUCGAGAUGCGUGGCCGCUCCUGAAAGAGGGUGCCACCUGUCAGGAUCUCCUGCACAGACCCCCGCCUCGCUUCACCAUGCUCCCCCAGGCUCGUCCAAGGACUCUUCUGAAGUCUCGGCCCUGCCUCCGAGCUCCGACCUGCACUCCGUGUCUCUGACCUCGACCAGCGCCGCGAGAGCGACUCCAUGCACUGAACUUCCCCCCGGCUCGAGACCUGCGCUCGCCGCCGCUGUCUCCACGGUGAGUGACGGACCCCCCCCGAGCGUUUCAGCUCAGGUCCCCCGGGCUCCGACGCAGUCCCUGCCACAGCCUUAUGUGAGACUCACCAGACUGCACCCGCUCAGGUACCUCCGGGAGAAGGGGGGGAGAGCUCCUCCAAGCACUGAGACACCGCUUGUUGAGAAGCAGGCCUUGGGUGAUCCUCACGAUGAAGGUGGAGGUGAGGAAGAGGAGGAGGAAGAGGAGGGAGAAGGAGGAGUCAAGUUUCUGUACUUCGAUCCUAACCUUCUCUACUCCGGUGAUGAGUCUUCAUGCAGUGACUCUGGGGCUUCUGAGGACCUGGAUUACAUGCCCUCAAGGAGUCACAAGAAGAAACAAGUGCCUAAUAUGUCACCCGAUAUGUAA